rnacentral:rRNA from 1 species
AAUCAUGGCUCAGGACGAACGCUGGCGGCGUGCCUAACACAUGCAAGUCGAGCGGAGACAGUGAGUAGCUUGCUAUGAGCUGUUUUAGCGGCGGACGGGUGAGUAACGCGUGAGCAACCUUUCCCAGACAGGGGAAUAACACACCGAAAGGUGUACUAAUACCGCAUAAGACCACGGAAUCACAUGGUUCUGAGGUAAAAGAUUUAUCGGUUUGGGGUGGGCUCGCGUCCGAUUAGGUAGUUGGUGAGGUAACCGG